CAUGCAGUCGAGCGGAUGAAGGUAGCUUGCUACCGGAUUCAGCGGCGGACGGGUGAGUAAUGCUUAGGAAUCUGCCUAUUAGUGGGGGACAACGUUCCGAAAGGAGCGCUAAUACCGCAUACGUCCUACGGGAGAAAGCAGGGGACCUUUGGGCCUUGCGCUAAUAGAUGAGCCUAAGUCGGAUUAGCUAGUUGGUAGGGUAAAGGCCUACCAAGGCGACGAUCUGUAGCGGGUCUGAGAGGAUGAUCCGCCACACUGGGACUGAGACACGGCCCAGACUCCUACGGGAGGCAGCAGUGGGGAAUAUUGGACAAUGGGGGGAACCCUGAUCCAGCCAUGCCGCGUGUGUGAAGAAGGCCUUUUGGUUGUAAAGCACUUUAAGCGAGGAGGAGGCUACCUAGAUUAAUACUUUAGGAUAGUGGACGUUACUCGCAGAAUAAGCACCGGCUAACUCUGUGCCAGCAGCCGCGGUAAUACAGAGGGUGCGAGCGUUAAUCGGAUUUACUGGGCGUAAAGCGUGCGUAGGCGGCCAAUUAAGUCAAAUGUGAAAUCCCCGAGCUUAACUUGGGAAUUGCAUUCGAUACUGGUUGGCUAGAGUAUGGGAGAGGAUGGUAGAAUUCCAGGUGUAGCGGUGAAAUGCGUAGAGAUCUGGAGGAAUACCGAUGGCGAAGGCAGCCAUCUGGCCUAAUACUGACGCUGAGGUACGAAAGCAUGGGGAGCAAACAGGAUUAGAUACCCUGGUAGUCCAUGCCGUAAACGAUGUCUACUAGCCGUUGGGGCCCUUGAGGCUUUAGUGGCGCAGCUAACGCGAUAAGUAGACCGCCUGGGGGAGUACGGUCGCAAGACUAAAACUCAAAUGAAUUGACGGGGGCCCGCACAAGCGGUGGAGCAUGUGGUUUAAUUCGAUGCACGCGAAGAACCUUACCUGCC
rnacentral:rRNA from 1 species